rnacentral:ncRNA from 1 species
UAACUUUAUUAUUAAAAUUUAGUUAAUAAGUGGUUUAAUUAUGGCUAUAAAAAUUAAUAAGUAUUAAGCUGCAUAAAAAUUUAAUUUUUGUUUUAUAAAAUUCAAAUUUAUAAUUAUUUAGCAGAGAGUUUUUUAUAAAAUUUAGAAAUAAAGAUAAAGUGGUACUUAAAAGUGGGGGAAAAGGCACAGUGCCAGCAUCCGCGGUUAGUCUGUUUCCAUUAAUUUUUUUAUGAUUUAUUAUAUUUACUAAUAGGUAGUAUAAAUUUUAUAAUUACUAUUUAAAAUUAUUGUAAAUAAGUAAAAUUAAUUUUGAUAAAUAAAAUGGAUUAGAUACCCAUGUAAUCAAAAAUAUAAUGAUAUCUUAGUAUAAACUAAAAUAUUUUGGCAGCUGAUUGUUUCUAAACAGGGGAAGAUGUUAAUUAAAAGAUGGUCCUCUUAAUAGUUUACUUUAUUUAUUUAAUUAGUGUAUAUCCGGUUUCAUAUUACUAAUUUUAGUUAAUAAAAAAUGAAAAUAAAUAAUUUAAGCCAGGUCGAUAUGCUGUUUAUAAUAAAGGUUUAAUGUCUUACUUUAAAAAAAUAGAACUGAGUAUUAAGUUAGAUUUAGGACUUGUUAGUAAAAUUAAAUUAAAAAGUUAAUUUGAAAUUUGUUCAAUUAGGGUACACAUUGCCCGUCAAUCUCGGUUAUUCUGAGAUAAGUCGUAACAUGGUAACUUUUGGUGAACCAGAAGUUAGU